CAAUUCAGUUUUGUGGCUCAGCCAGUUUACGGUCCGUAGCUCAUGGGUCUUCUGGGUUGCUCAUGGAUUUCUACUCUGCAGUUCCAGGGAUAGCAGGUAUGGAAGUGCAAGGCACGUCCCAGAAGCAUGGAUUACCAGGAAAGCAAAGCCAAGCAGCUCAAGAUUUGUAGCUAUUCUCCCCCUGCCCAUCCUCACAUUUGCUAAGCUCUUUAACCUUAUUGACACCAUGUUGCCACUCACAACAACACCUCAGUCCCAAGGCAUGUUUCAGAAGAGGCUUUUUGUACUUGGCUCUAAAACAACGUUGGCAAAAUGUGGUCACCGGACCAACAGCAUCAGCCUCACUCAAGAGCCUGUUAAAAAAUGCAAAUUCUCCGGCUCUUCCCCAGAGUUACCGAAUCAGGGGGGACCCA